CUAUUUCCCCAUCUCUCUCUCUCUCUCUCUCUCGCUCUCUCUCCCACCCUGCCAUUCUCUCUUUCACUGCAUGCAUGCCCAUAUAGUUCAACUAGGCAUUGGUCUUUUCCCAUUGGGAAAUAAUACAUAAGAGGCUAUGAAGCUUCCACGUCAAAUCUUUCUCAAUUAAUCAACCAUUAGCAUGUUCGGGAUCUACUAUUGAAUGGUUAACAUAAGCUUGUGUAACUGUAUGCUACCCAAAACUAAUUAGGAGCUGCUGAAAAAAAUUAACUCUUUGCAGCCCUAUGCUGGGAGCUGUCAGGGUUUUACGUGCUCAUAUGUGGAGGUUGGGGUGUAGUGGCAGCAGGCAGAUGGUGCAGAUCAGAUCGAUGUGAUCGCUAUUGCUGCUUUUUUUCCCCCCUCUAUUCCCUUUGGUUACUGGAGCUGAGGGCGCUGGCUGAAGACUGCAUGGCAGCAGCCUGGUAAGGAGUGCUUAUAUCUGGGUACUUUCAGCAGGAUAUCUUUCUGAUGAGUGACUCUGGGAGUUAUCAUUAACGAGGAAAUGCUACUUCCACCCUGAUCAUCUUCCAUAAGGGGAAUCAGCUCCCAACACACAGCCUGAAGGAUCAGCUGCAUCCAACAGUCAUCCAGAGCUCUCACACAGCACCAACACGGAAUCUAUAGGUCCAUUGGACAACCAAUUGAACAGCCUGGAGCUUGGGGGGGCGUACAACACUGGCUUAUUUUGCAAGUACAGAGGAAGACGUGAGGAGAGACAAGGACUAGACACUUGGACAUUGUUGGACUUGCUUUAUGGACCUGUUUGGAUUCUCCUCCUUCUCCUGCUUGUGGAUUUAUAGCCCAGCCGGCUGCUGCUUUGUAGCUCUCUUCGGUGACGGGUAUUCUUGGGUGGAUAAUACGGAUUACGUUGUUAUUGCUUAAGAAUACGCGUAGUUGAGGAGAGUCUGUACAACAAGCACACUACAGCGCCCAAAAAGUCGCACCAACCUACCAACCAACCAACCAACCGCUGACUUGGCCAAGGUAGCCUCUUUCAUGUCUUUUCCGUGCAUUUACGGUGCUUGCAUGCAAAACAAAAAAAAAAA